GACGAACGCUGGCGGCGUGCUUAACACAUGCAAGUCGAACGAUGAAGCUGGAGCUUGCUCUAGCGGAUUAGUGGCGAACGGGUGAGUAACACGUGACCAAUCUGCCCUUGACUCUGGGAUAACUGCGGGAAACUGUAGCUAAUACCGGAUACUUUCACCGGGGGGCAUCCUCUGGUGAUGAAAGAAUUUCGGUCAAGGAUGAGCUCGUGGCCUAUCAGCUUGUUGGUGAGGUAACGGCUCACCUAGGCGACGACGGGUAACCGGCCUGAGAGGGUGACAGGUGACAAGGGGACUGAGAGACGGGCCAGAUUCAUACGGGGGGGAGAGGUGGGGAAUAUUGCACGAUGGGCGCAAGCCUGAUGCAGCAACGCCGCGUGAGGGAAGAAGGCCUUCGGGUUGUAAACCUCUUUUAGCAGGAAAGAAGCGAAAGUGACGGUACCUGCAGAAAAAGCACCGGCUAACUACGUGCCAGCAGCCGCCGUAA
rnacentral:rRNA from 1 species